rnacentral:tRNA from 1 species
GUCCCUAUCGUCUAGAGGCCUAGGACGCUGCCCUCUCACGGCAAUAACCGGGGUUCGAAUCCCCGUAGGGACACCA